rnacentral:rRNA from 1 species
GGAGCAGCCCAGAGCCUGAAUCAGUGUGUGUGUUAGUGGAAGCGUCUGGAAAGGCGUGCGAUACAGGGUGACAGCCCCGUACACAAAAAUGCACAUACUGUGAGCUCGAUGAGUAGGGCGGGACACGUGGUAUCCUGUCUGAAUAUGGGGGGACCAUCCUCCAAGGCUAAAUACUCCUGACUGACCGAUAGUGAACCAGUACCGUGAGGGAAAGGCGAAAAGAACCCCGGCGAGGGGAGUGAAAAAGAACCUGAAACCGUGUACGUACAAGCAGUGGGAGCACGCUUAGGCGUGUGACUGCGUACCUUUUGUAUAAUGGGUCAGCGACUUAUAUUCUGUAGCAAGGUUAACCGAAUAGGGGAGCCGAAGGGAAACCGAGUCUUAACUGGGCGUUAAGUUGCAGGGUAUAGACCCGAAACCCGGUGAUCUAGCCAUGGGCAGGUUGAAGGUUGGGUAACACUAACUGGAGGACCGAACCGACUAAUGUUGAAAAAUUAGCGGAUGACUUGUGGCUGGGGGUGAAAGGCCAAUCAAACCGGGAGAUAGCUGGUUCUCCCCGAAAGCUAUUUAGGUAGCGCCUCGUGAAUUCAUCUCCGGGGGUAGAGCACUGUUUCGGCAAGGGGGUCAUCCCGACUUACCAACCCGAUGCAAACUGCGAAUACCGGAGAAUG